rnacentral:tRNA from 1 species
UGUUUUCUUCUUCUCAGUGUAAGUGAGAAACUUAAAGCUUUUUUCCUCCCUUAGUUAACU